UGGUCGGCAUUUUAAUCCCUGCUGGGUGGAACGUCUGCUGCCUGGAUGCGGAUCCAAAGCCUCCCUGUAAAACAUAGCAAACCCCAAGUGAAGCUGCUGCUGGUGCUGCUACAAUGGAGCUGCUGAAUGUGACAACAAAUGUGUCUUCUGCAACUGUCUCCCCACGUCCAUCACGUGUCUAUAGAAGUCCACCCUCCUGCUCACCCAUCAACAUGCCAACAGACAGCCGUGGACGCCACUUCCUUUGAUAUGGU